rnacentral:rRNA from 1 species
UACGGAGGGUGCGAGCGUUGUCCGGAAUCACUGGGCGUAAAGGGCGCGUAGGCGGCCGCGUAAGUCACUUGUGAAAUCCCGGGGCUCAACUCCGGGGCUGCAGGUGAGACUGCGUGGCUAGAGCACGGUAGAGGCGAGUGGAAUUCCCGGUGUAGCGGUGGAAUGCGUAGAGAUCCGGAGGAACACCAGCGGCGAAGGCGGCAUCCUGGACUGGUCCUGACACUCAGGAGCGAAAGCGUGGGGAGCGAUCCGG